CUCGCUGAACCAAGAGCUCUGCAUUUUUGCAUUUCUUUUUGUCUCAGACCAACACGGCUACUAAAUACAUCCCUGACACAUCUGUACAGUACAGACACUCACCUAUACAUCUGCACAUACACACACGCACGUCACAGACGUUUAUUCGCACCUGUACAGACACACGCUCACCCAUACGCGCGCACACACACACGUGCACUCAUCCAUACUUGCACACGCACGCACGCAGUCCCCGGCAACCCCCGCGAUCCCGGCCCGGCCCGGGCAGCUCGGGCCGCGGCCCCGCGCGGAGAAGCCGCAGCCGCGGAGCGGGGCCGGGCUGGGCGGAGCGGGCUCGGUGCGGCCGGGCGAGGGGGCGCUGUCUGCCCGGAGAAGCGCGUCGAGGCUGGCGCCCGGCUCGGCUCGGCUCGGCUCUACCCUGGCUCCUCGGGCCAGGCGGCCGCGGGAGCGCAGAGUCGGCUCCCGCCUGCUCCGGGGCAGGGGCGGACACACGGCCCGGCGGGGCCCGGCUUGUGGAGGAAGCAGCCCGCCAGCCCUAAUCCGGAACCAGGUGCAGAGAUACAGAUUCUUUAGCUCUUAAGGUGGAUCUAAAAGGAGAAUUGCUUGUAUGAGGCUGAUCCUGAGACCAUUUCGGAGGACAUUUACUUGGACCAGCAGUCUUUAAAUAGAGAUGCUUGUGUACAGAAUCAGGGAGACAACCCAGCCAAACCAAUGUGCGGCACAGAAUCAGAAAUCUUCCUUUAUUCAACAAGAAGUACAGUAAAUACAUCCAGGGAAUCGGAUCCGGGCUUCUUCCCAAACUAGAAUUCCCACCGGGAACUGAUGAACCAUCUGCCUACUCUGGUGCCAUCUCCCUAAAAGCAGGAAAAUGUUGAAUGUGUCACAUAAUAGCUUCUACCACUUCUUAGCUUCUGUGUGCAACUGUCCUAUCUACUCGAGAGAGAGAGAAAUUCUUCCUCAGCUUUGCUGGCUGUCAGUUUAUGCCUUGGAGCAGAACAGCCCUUGUAGUUUUUAUUCUUGUUCUUGUAAAAUGAAGAUGGCAUUCAAAUAAAAUGUCCAAUCCUUUUUCAGCUCGCUAAACUAUUUAUUUAAUACUUUUC